rnacentral:rRNA from 1 species
GACGAACGCUGGCGGCGUGCUUAACACAUGCAAGUCGAACGGAAAGGCCCUGCUUUUGUUGGGUGCUCGAGUGGCGAACGGGUGAGUAACACGUGAGUAACCUGCCCUUGACUUUGUGAUAACUUCAGGAAACUGGGGCUAAUACCGGAUAGGAGCUCCUGCUGCAUGGUGGGGGUUGGAAAGUUUCGGCGGUUGGGGAUGGACUCGCGGCUUAUCAGCUUGUUGGUGGGGUAGUGGCUUACCAAGGCUUUGACGGGUAGCCGGCCUGAGAGGGUGACCGGCCACAUUGGGACUGAGAUACGGCCCAGACUCCUACGGGAGGCAGCAGUGGGGAAUAUUGCACAAUGGGCGGAAGCCUGAUGCAGAAACGCCGCGUGCGGGAUGACGGCCUUCGGGUUGUAAACCGCUUUCGCCUGUGACGAAGCGUGAGUGACGGUAAUGGGUAAAGAAGCACCGGCUAACUACGUG